rnacentral:rRNA from 1 species
UGGGUAACCUGCCCAGAGACUGGGAUAACACCUGGAAACAGAUGCUAAUACCGGAUAACAACACUAGACGCAUGUCUAGAGUUUAAAAGAUGGUUCUGCUAUCACUCUUGGAUGGACCUGCGGUGCAUUAGCUAGUUGGUAAGGUAACGGCUUACCAAGGCAAUGAUGCAUAGCCGAGUUGAGAGACUGAUCGGCCACAUUGGGACUGAGACACGGCCCAAACUCCUACGGGAGGCAGCAG